GAUGAAGAACGUAGCGAAAUGCGAUAAGUAGUGUGAAUUGCAGAAUUCAGUGAAUUAUCGAAUCUUUGAACGCACAUUGCGGCCAUAGGUAUUCCUUUGGCCAUGCCUGUUCGAGCGUCAUUUACACCCUCAAGCCUAGCUUGGUGUUGGGCGUCUGUCCCGCCGUUCUCGCGCGCGGACUCGCCUCAAAGUCAUUGGCGGCGGUCGUGCCGGCCCCCUCGCGCAGCACAUUUGCGCUUCUCGGAGGCCCGGCGGAUCCGCGCUCCAGCAAGACCUUUCACGACUUGACCUCGGAUCAGGUAGGGAUACCCGCUGAACUUAAGCAUAUCAAUAAGCGGAGGA
rnacentral:misc_RNA from 1 species